GAGGUAGAGCAGGUGGUCGCAACUUCUCUCUCUCUGAUAGAGAAGUUGAGGAAAGUCCGAGCUCCACAAAGCAGGGUGCUGGGUAACACCCAGGAAGGGUAACCUUACGGAAAGUGCAACAGAAAAUAUACCGCCGAUGGCUUCUUCGGUUUUAGAAGCUCAGGCAAGGGUGAAAAGGUGUGGUUCUACUCCAUUUCUCUGGAGAGAACUUAAGUAAGAGCGCACCAGCAGUCGGGUGACCGGCUGGCUUUGCAAACCCCACCCGGAGCAAGGCCAAAUAGGAGGGCUGUAGAGGUUGCUGUAAACCCCUACGCUGAUGCUUUGUCAGUGCCCUUGGGUAGGCCGCUAGAGCCUUUUAGCAAUAAAAGGCGUAGAUAGAUGACCACCGCCUCUUUAAAAAAACAACAAGAGGUACAGAACUCGGCUUAUAGCUUUGCCUCUCUC
rnacentral:RNase_P_RNA from 1 species